rnacentral:rRNA from 1 species
ACAUAGCCACUAGCCACAAACCAGUAUUAGAGGUAACACCUGCCCAGUGAGAAACCCUUAAACGGCCGCGAUAACCAACCGCGCAAAGGUAGCGCAAUCACUUGUCCCCUAAAUAGGGACCCGUAUGAAAGGUUGCAUGAGAAAGAGACUGUCUCCUUAGGAUGGUCGAUGAAACUGAUCUGUCAGUACAAAAGCUGACAUUAAAAAAUAGGACAAAAAGACCCUGUGAAACUUAAAACCUAAUCAAACCCACAUUGACAGAAGGUUUUUAGUUGGGGCAACUGAGGGGAAACAAAACCCCCUAACACUGCCAAGUCCAACAAGACAAAGCACACAACACUAAACCGGACCCAGUAAUACUGAUCAAAGAACCAAGCUACUCCAGGGAUAACAGCACCACACUCUUUAAGAGUCCAUAUCAACAAGAGUACCUACGACCUCGAUGUUGGAUCAGGGUAACCCGACGGUGAAAAAGCUGUCAAAGGUUCGUUCGUUCAACGAUUAAAACCCUACGUGAUCU